UACGGGGGGGCAAGCGUUGUUCGGAAUUACUGGGCGUAAAGCGCACGUAGGCGGCUUCUUAAGUCAGGGGUGAAAUCCUGGAGCUCAACUCCAGAACUGCCUUUGAUACUGAGGAGCUUGAGUCCGGGAGAGGUGAGUGGAACUGCGAGUGUAGAGGUGAAAUUCGUAGAUAUUCGCAAGAACACCAGUGGCGAAGGCGGCUCACUGGCCCGGUACUGACGCUGAGGUGCGAAAGCGUGGGAGCA
rnacentral:rRNA from 1 species